UGCAAAUCAAUAUAAAUUGAGUAAUAUUUAUUUAUUAAUUUUUUGAAAUAUUAAUUUAAAGUAUUAAAAAUAAUUAUAUGGUUGAUUGUUUUAGUAUUUUAUUGAAAAAAUAUUGUUAAUUAUAGUGAAUUAUGUAUUGUGAGAGAUUAUUGAAAUAUUUUGAAAAAUUUUUAUUUUUUAAGAAGUAUUUGUUUUAUGUACCUUGUGUAUCAGGGUUUAUUAAAUAAUUAAUAGGUAUCUAUUAAUCUCGAUUUUAUAAGAGUUAAUAAAUUAUGUAAGUUAAUGUGUCAAAAUUAUUUAUAAUAAUUUAUUAGAAAUGAAAUGUUAUUCGUUUAUAAAGGUAUCUAGUUUUUUUAGAAAUAAAUUUAAUUUAUGAAUUUUUAAUUUUUUACUUAUUUAUAUAAAGUAAAAAAAUUAUUAAUUUAAAUAUUUUAAGGGAUAAGCUUUAAAAUAAAAUGUUAAAAGUAAUUAAGUAAAAUAUAAAAUGUAUGUGUAGAAUUAGCAAUCAUUUAUAAGUUUGUUAUAAAUUAUUUUAUAAUUUAUAUUAUUUAAUUUAUUUUAAAUUUUUAUAAAAAUGUUUUUAUGAAUUAUUAUGAAAAGUAAUAAUGAUAAAAUUAGUAUAUAUUAAUGUUAAGUAUUUUUUUUUUGAAAAGUUUUUAUAAAGAACUCGGCAAAUAAUAUGCCCGCCUGUUUAACAAAAACAUGUCUUUUUGAGUUAUUUUUAAAGUCUGACCUGCCCAAUGAAUUAUUUUGAAUGGCCGCAGUAUUCUAACUGUGCAAAGGUAGCAUAAUCAUUAGUCUUUUAAUUGAAGGCUGGUAUGAACGGUUGGACGAGGUAUAAUCUGUUUCAUAAAAAAUUAUAUUAGAAUUUUAUUUUUUAGUCAAAAAGCUAAAAUUUAAUUAAAAGACGAGAAGACCCUAUAAAUCUUUAUAUUUUUUAUUAUCUAAGUUUUUUAGAUUUUGUUUAUUUUUAUAAUAGAAAAUAUUUUGUUGGGGUGAUAUUAAAAUUUAAUAAACUUUUAAUUUUUGAAAUCAUUAAUUUAUGAUUAAUUGAUCCGUUAUUAACGAUUAUAAGAUUAAGUUACUUUAGGGAUAACAGCGUAAUUUUUUUGGAGAGUUCAUAUCGAUAAAAAAGUUUGCGACCUCGAUGUUGGAUUAAGAUAUAUUUUUAGGUGUAGCCGCUUAAAUGUUAAGUCUGUUCGACUUUUAAU
rnacentral:rRNA from 1 species